ACGGAAGGCAGCAGUGGGGGAUAUUGCACAAUGGGGGAAACCCUGAUGCAGCAACGCCGCGUGUGGGAUGAAGGUUUUCGGAUUGUAAACCACUGUUCUUAGCGAAGAAAUAAAUGACGGUAACUAAGAAGAAAGCUCCGGCUAACUACGUGCCAGCAGCCGCGGUAAUACGUAGGGAGCGAGCGUUGUCCGGAUUUACUGGGUGUAAAGGGUGCGUAGGCGGCUCUGCAAGUCAGAAGUGAAAGCCCCAGGCUCAACCUGGGAACUGCUUUUGAAACUGUGGGGCUUGAGUGAAGUAGAGGCAGGCGGAAUUCCCGGUGUAGCGGUGAAAUGCGUAGAGAUCGGGGGGAACACCAGUGGCGAAGGCGGCCUGCUGGGCUUUAACUGACGCUGAGGCACGAAAGCGUGGGGAGCAAACAGGAUUAGAUACCCUGGUA
rnacentral:rRNA from 1 species